ACAAGGCUAAAGGCCUUAACGGAGUUUUUGAUUACGUUUUAGUUUUGCUCGUUCCAAACCAAAAUCUCGUUAGAGUAAAUAAUUAUUGCUACGCACAUAAUAUUUACUCAGAGAAAAUAUUAUGAAAGACCAAUGUGAAUUUUCAAUUUUGUUUUGUAAUUUGUGAAGACCAUAGAUAGUGAAGACUAGACUGGUACCUAAUCACUAAUCAGUAAAGAGAAGUGUUCUGUGAUUACUGAUUAGUAAUCAGUAAUAUAAGUAUAGACUACAAUAAUAUAAAUAUUUAAAUUGAAUGUGUAUUAUCUUGUAAAUAAUCGAUUUUAGUUACAAAUUUCAUUAAUUCAUUUCAUUUUUCUACGAAAAAUCAUGACUGUAUAUCUAACAAAAAAAAUGCUUUCAAAAUUAAAUAGAAGUAAUUUCUCAAUCGCACCUGUAGAAAAGGAUAAUUCACUGGAUAUUCAUUGGUUGGAGCUUCUUGCUGAUGGUUCAACAUCAUCUCAACUUUCUAAGAAGUCUAUAUGCAGAGUUUGUGCGAAAAAAGCAUCUAAACCGAUAAGUGAUCCCUUAUAUGAUUUUGAUAUCAUGGGUGCCCUUCGGAGUGUCUCAAAUAUUUCGCUAACACCUGAUGAUUCUCUUCCUAAAUUCAUUUGCCCAGAAUGUUUGGAGUCAUUAAAAGUUGCACUGAGUUUUAAAAGAAAGUGUGAAGCAGCCGAUAGAAGAUAUAAAAAGUUAUUAAAUCCAAUGGGGGAUCCAACAUUGCAUUCAUAUCCAUACUCCAAACAUGAUUUCCAGCUAAUAUUACACGACCUUAAGAAAAAAAGACUUAAUAUUGAGGCACAAAAAGAAAAAGACAGAAAAAGACGCGAGAAGUUUAUGCAACGAAAGCAACUGAGGAAGAAAGAAUUUCAAUGUUCUUCAUGUGAUAACAUAUUUGAUAAUAAGGACUUAUUAUUUGCUCACCGCCAAGAAAAACAAUGCAUGCUCAGGGCAUGUGAUAUAUGUGGUCAGUUGGUAUACAGCAUUACUAAGCAUAUGAGACAUAUACACAAACAAACUGUUAUACAUAAAUGUCCUACUUGUGGAAAGGAGUUCCCGAUUAUUGCAAGAUUGAAGAAUCACAUGUUGAUUCAUACAAACACGUUUAACUUCUUCUGUGAUCUGUGUCCAUACAAAUGUAAAUACAAGCACUACUUGGUAAUGCACAUGAGGACUCAUACAGGGGAGAAGCCAUACGGCUGUCCAGUGUGCCCGGCCAAGUUUGUCAACCCAUCAAAUCUCAACAAGCAUAAGUUAACCCAUCAGGAGAAACAAUAUAAGUGUAUGAUGUGUGAUAAGUCUUUCCGUACAAGUCCGGGACUGCGGGAACACCAUGAAGCGGCACAUCUUAAUAUUAAACACACCUGUGCCUAUUGUGGAAGAGACUUCUGUUAUAAGUCUGAUUUACGCAAGCACGAGAUAAGAAUGCACAAUCGUCUAAAGAAGGAAUUCAUCGGAGGCGAACCAGCCUACAAGCAAGCUGAGAGGAUACAGAAGGAGCAAGAUGAUGAAGCUCUUGAGAAAUGGCGGCAAAACCAGAUGAUAGUGACCCAGCCCCCGCCACUGGUGCAGGCCACCUUUGUUGACCAGAACAAGGAGUACUUGCAAAACAGUCAGAUGUACUUCACCGAUGUCACUGGGAUCAUACAACAGCAAAUGCGUUUUUCUUUUGGGGAAUUGCUGCAGCGUUUGUCAUGGAGUCAGCCAUUGCGAUGUUUGCUAGCGAUUAUCGUGUAGAAUCGAAGAAUAGAGAGUAUCUGAGUCUGCCCAGCAGCAGUCGGUGCAGAUAACUCUGGCCGAUAUAGAUAACAUAAAAAAAGAUGACGUGAAAAUGUACGUGACUCAACAAUUAUACUUCUAAGUUGGGCGUCAGUUGUAUCUAGUUUAUAAAAAUAAAAUAUAAGAAGUACCUAUUCAAUAUAUGCUUAUUUAGUGAAACCCCGAUGAUACAAAGCUGAAGGAGAUUAGAAUAAGAGAUGAUAAUGGUCUGGCCGGAUACCGGAUCUAUUAUCAGCAAAUUCAUCAACACCUGCUGAGCGAAUGAAAGAAGACGAAACUAGAUUCAACUUUACACUCGAAGCUCAUGACACUUUGGGACUUUUUCAAUGAUGUGGCAAAGGAUAACACUAGUAGAGAUCUUCGCGAUCAAGAAAAACUAAAUCCAAUUGCUAAGAGAAUUCUUCUUAAAGAUAUCUCGAAUCGAUCGCAAUCAAGACCCAUUUGGUGGUCAGUUAAGUUGAGUCACUACCUGCAGUUGUCAAGGUUUGCUAGAAUUUAUCUUUCAGCACCUGGGAGUAGUUAAUACAGCGAAAGGCUAUUUUCAGAAGCUGGUCUGGUAUACAAAGCCAAGCGGAGUGGCCUAUUACCAACAAAUGCUUCACCACAAUUUGCCACUUGUUAAUUUUGAGUACAAAACUUAUUAAUAAAAAUAACUUUUUCGACGUAAAAUUAUAAAAAUAAACGGUGUUCAUAACUUA